UACGUAGGUGGCAAGCGUUAUCCGGAAUUAUUGGGCGUAAAGAGCGCGCAGGUGGUUGAUUAAGUCUGAUGUGAAAGCCCACGGCUUAACCGUGGAGGGUCAUUGGAAACUGGUCGACUUGAGUGCAGAAGAGGGAAGUGGAAUUCCAUGUGUAGCGGUGAAAUGCGAAGAGAUAUGGAGGAACACCAGUGGCGAAGGCGGCUUCCUGGUCUGUAACUGACACUGAGGCGCGAAAGCGUGGGGAGCAAACAGGAUUAGAUA
rnacentral:rRNA from 1 species